GACGAACGCUGGCGGCGUGCUUAACACAUGCAAGUCGAACGGAAAGGCCCUGCUUUUGUGGGGUGCUCGAGUGGCGAACGGGUGAGUAACACGUGAGUAACCUGCCCUUGACUUUGGGAUAACUUCAGGAAACUGGGGCUAAUACCGGAUAGGAGCUCCUGCUGCAUGGUGGGGGUUGGAAAGUUUCGGCGGAUGGGGAUGGACUCGCGGCUUAUCAGCUUGUUGGUGGGGUAGUGGCUUACCAAGGCUUUGACGGGUAGCCGGCCUGAGAGGGUGACCGGCCACAUUGGGACUGAGAUACGGCCCAGACUCCUACGGGAGGCAGCAGUGGGGAAUAUUGCACGAUGGGCGGAAGCCUGAUGCAGCAACGCCGCGUGCGGGAUGACGGCCUUCGGGUUGUAAACCGCUUUCGCCUGUGACGAAGCGUGAGUGACGGUAAUGGGUAAAGAAGCACCGGCUAACUACGUG
rnacentral:rRNA from 1 species